rnacentral:rRNA from 1 species
CACGGGGGGAGCAAGCGUUGUUCGGAUUUACUGGGCGUAAAGAGCGCGCAGGCGGUCGUUCAAGUCGAGUGUGAAAGCCCCCGGCUCAACUGGGGAGGGUCACUCGAUACUGAUCGACUUGAAGGCGGGAGAGGGAAGCGGAAUUCCCGGUGUAGUGGUGAAAUGCGUAGAUAUCGGAAGGAACAUCAGUGGCGAAAGCGACUUCCUGGACCAAUACUGACGCUCAUGUGCGAAAGCGUGGGGAGCAAACAGGG